UUUAUUUAUGAAAGCAAAAAAAAAACAGGGGGCGGACAAAAUACGAUGGGUUUCAAAACAUUUAAUAUCCAUCAGAAAAAAAUUAAAUCAAGUUUCAUGACCUUUGAUCUGUAAUCCCUAACCAUUCCCUCCCCUUUUUUCUUCAAUCUGAAAUUCAUAGUCAUUCCCAUUCCUUCUCAUUCUUUUGAUAUCUUCCAACAAAUCUAACACCAGGUAACUAAGAUUCACUACUGUUGCAUUAGGAAAAAUGUUCCAACGAAAAAAGAACCCAUUUUGCAUGUUAUUCAUUUCGAAAUAUCCCACCUUUAUUGAUCUUUCAGUGUUUUGAUUAUUGAAAAAUCUCGUAUUUUGGUCGAACUAUAUUUCCAUCUAUCGAAAAUUUGAUCCGUUCACUACUGAACCGUACUUUCAAGUUGCUAAAAACCCACCUUCAAGAGAAAUACAUGUUCAUAUUUCGAGAAAACCUUACUGAAGUGAAACCCUGCUUUCCUUAUAUUCUGCGGUUUUGUCUGUACAAGGUUAUUGAAAAAAGAGGAUAGUGGGUUUGUAAGUGUGCAUAGGAAUAUAGACAAAUUAGGCCCCUUUAAUUUAUCAAAUCUGCCACUUAUUCAUGCAAAAAAAAAACAAUGGACUUCUAAUCAAAUGUUGUGGAUGAUGCUUGUAUAAUAUUUAAUUUAAUUGUUAAAAUAUUUUAUUCUGAUCAAAUGUUGUGGAUGACGCUUGUAAUGGACUGUGCACUUUGAGAUGGCCUUCACAAAACUCAUGCAUUUAGGUGAUACAUUUGUUGAUAACCCUAAGGUAGAUUAUAUAGGUGGGGUUGUUGAAGUGUGGGAUGUAUCCCUAAUUAUUUGUGACAUGGAGAUUUGUGUGAGUUGGUUAUAGAGUCAGGGUGUAGGGGUGUUAAAAAUUUGUAUUAUUUAACACUGAGUAGUUUAGAUGUUGGUUUAGUUCUGUUUUGUGUUUGGGAUAAUAACUCUUUUAAUCACAUGUAGAUGUGUGAAUAAGCGAGAGGUCAACAAAGGGAGCUCGCAGCAUCAGCUUGCACGUGCUAAAGGGAGUUCGUGGUCUCAACCCAUGCAUACACAAGGAGUACAUGUGUCUAAUAUGCCCGAGGUUUGCUCAGAAUGUCAGUCCAAUGAAUAGUGGAGUUAAAUCAUGAAUAGUAAAAUUAAGUCAUGAACAGUGAUAACAUGUAUAAAUAUUCGAUUGUCCCUUUCAAUGGAAAUGAGCUGCGAGUUCCCCCUGUUGACCUCUUGCUACAUUCCUCGCACACAUCCCUUAGGCGAGUCUAUCCAGGUUGCGGGUAGACGACCCAGAUCUUAUUUGGGUUUCGAGUUGGUGAUCCUUAGCGUAUAACAACAUUAAUGAGAAUAGUGAGGGUGUAGAUCCAACUUGUGAGGGACGUGAGGAAUUUCUUAGAGAGUGCAAAGGGGUUGAAGAAGCUGAAGGUAGUGAUGAUGAUCCAUUAGAAAAUGUUGAGUGGGCUAGUGACAAGGAUAAUGAGGAGUAGCAGUAGAUUAACAAUCUCUUUAGAAGUUUUAGGGAUAAUGUAGAAGAUAGAGAUGUUAGGCAAUAUGACAUCCCAAUUGAGAUAGUUUUGGAUGACCUUAUCUUAGAAAUUAAGAAAAGAAGGGCAUCUGUUAAUACUACCACAGUAGGUGAGUCUAGUGGGGUUGGGAGUGCAGCAGAUUACUUAGAAUCCUUAGAUCUAGUGAGUAGUGAUAUUGAUGAGGAUGGAGAUGUUGUCUUCAAGAAGUCAGAGAAGUGUUAUUUUGACCUUACUAAUCUAAUGCCUCAUUUUCAGUUAGGUUUGAUUCUUGAGAGUCCAAAACAGUUCAAGUCAGCAUUGAAAAGGUAUGCAAUUGCUAAGAGAUUUGAUUUUAAGUUAGCUAAGAAUGAGAAAGACAAAACUAAGGCUGUUUGCAAAUGGAGGGUUCUCCUUUUUACAGUUUAUGUUGGGGUAGAUUCAAUGGAUGAGCUUUUUAACAUUCAGGCUUUUAGAAAUCAUCACACUUGCUCCAUAACUUUUAAGAAUUCUCGAGCAUUAUAAGGUGUUGGCAAAACAUUUUUUACCUAAACUUAGAAUUAUGCCAUAUUUAAAACUGAUCGAGAUGGUGAAACUUGCUUAGGAAGAACUAAAGGUUGAUGUGUCCUUGGGGAUUUGUAGGAGAGCUAAAGACUUAGCAAAUGACCAAAUUAGUGAGAGGUAUAAGUAUGAGUUUAAGGAGGGCAGGUUUUGAUGGGGCUAUAGAUUUAAUGGUUGACAGACCUUUUUCUAAUCAUAGGCCUAGAUUUAGUAGGUUUUAUGUUUGUUUUAGUAGUAUGUAAAAAUGGUUUAAAGAGUGAUGUAGGCCUUUUGUGAGUUUGGGUGGGUGCUUUCUAAUGGGAAUGUUGAAAGGUGGCUUAUUGGUUGCUGUGGAAGGGAUGCCAACAAUCAAAUAUACCCUAUUGCAUGGGCAUUGGUGGAAAGUGAAACAAAAUAUUCUUGAGGAUAGUUUUUAGAGAAUGUAAGAAAUGAUCUUCAUAUGAUGAAUGGUGAAAGAUUUACCAUUCUGAGUGACAUGCAUUAAAUCUGAUUUUUUCUAUUGAUUGAGGGCUUAAUUGAAGCAGUUGGUCUGUAAUUCCAGAAAAUGAGCACAAAUUCUGUGUUAGGCAUUGGUUUGCCAUUUAGAAAAGAGUUUUCAAGAGUUUAGAGUUGCACAAGUAUUUUUGGAGCUGCAGCAAGGUAACAUCAGAAGCUGAAUUUCGGAAAAUGGCAUCUGCACUAGGUGAGGUGAAAAGGCAAGCACUGUUAAAAAUAUUGAAGAAAAAGCCUAUACAUUGAGGUGAGGCAUUUUUCUCAGCUAGAAACCUAUGUGAUUUUGUAGACAAUAAUAUAGCAUAAGCCUUUAAUGCUAGGUUAAGACAAGCUAGACACAUGUCUAUAAUUUCCAUGUUUGAGGAAAUUAGACAUUAUGUUAUGCACCACUUGCUGGGAACAAAUUUUGGCCUGUUACAAACAUGGGCGCUAUUGACCCUCUACUACUAAGGAAGUUACCAGGCAAGCCAAAAAAGAGAGUGCUGAAGAGGACGAAUGUAGUGGAAUCAACUUGUCUAGAAAAUGGAGGAUAAGAUGCAAAAUAUGUUUUAUGUUGGGACAUAAUUCAAUUAAAAAACAAGAUAAUAUUGACAAUAAUGGCAAUACUGGUGAACUAGUACCCAAAAGCCCUACUUAGUCUGAAGUUGAGUCUCAGUUUCGGAUACCGGUCUUGGAUGUCCUAUUGAUUGUUGAAGUCUUGCAUUUGAUGCGAAUUCUCCACAACUAGUGUGAGCAUUAUUGAAAAGGUUACAAUUACAUGAAAAGACACUUUGUGUAAGUGUUUCCCGAGUAUUCGAUGUUGUUUAAUAUGGUUCAAUGGGCACUUUAAGUUAAAUGAAAAAGUAUGUAUACGAAAUGAGCCAUGAUGUUAAGCAUGGGAAAUGAGCUAUGAUGUUGAGUAUAUAAAUUUGAUAGUAUGAUAUGUGAAAUUAUGUUGAAAAGAGAAUCUAAUGAUAUAUGAUAGAUGGUUUGUAUAUUGAAAUUUAUUUAAUGAAAUAUUACAUGAAUUAGGUGAA